CAAGAGCGUAUGUAAAAGUUGUUGCAGUUAAAAAGCUCGUAGUUGAACCUUGUGUUUGGUUGGCCGGUCCGCUUUUUUGCGAGUACUGGAUUCAACCGAGCCUUUCCUUCUGGCUAACCAGUCGUUUCGGCGGCUGGCGAACCAGGAUUUUUACUUUGAGAAAAUUAGAGUGUUCAAAGCAGGCAUUAGCUUGAAUAUAUUAGCAUGGAAUAAUAGAAUAGGACGUUAUGGUUCUAUUUUGUUGGUUUCUAGGACCAUCGUAAUGAUUAAUAGGGACGGUCGGGGGCAUCAGUAUUCAGUUGUCAGAGGUGAAAUUCUUGGAUUUACUGAAGACUAACUACUGCGAAAGCAUUUGCCAAGGACGUUUUCAUUAA
rnacentral:rRNA from 1 species